rnacentral:rRNA from 1 species
CCGUGCCCCUAAGUCUGGGAUACCAUUUGGAAACAGAUGCUAAUACCGGAUAACAACAGAUGAUGCCUAUCAACUGUUUAAAAGAUGGUUCUGCUAUCACUCUUGGAUGGACCUGCGGUGCAUUAGCUAGUUGGUAGGGUAACGGCCUACCAAGGCGAUGAUGCAUAGCCGAGUUGAGAGACUGAUCGGCCACAUUGGGACUGAGACACGGCCCAGACUCCUACGGGAGGCAGCAGCU